CUGGCAGCGUCACCACCCUGGCUGUGGCCUGGGACCAGGGAAAGGCCGGCUCCGGUGGGGAGUGCAGCCAGCAGCUCCAGUCCCCGCUCGCCAGGUCUGGCCUGGCUGGCCUGGCCUCGGAGACCUGAGACUGGGGUGGGGUGGGAGCCAGUGGGUGGCACGGCCCACACGCUGAAAUGUCACCUGACCAGGGGGCCCUGCAGGUCAGGAACCAGCUCCCCCUCGUGAAAGCGUCUUAGCGCCAGGAAGGGGGGAGCGAGGGAGGCCGCACGUAGCCCUGUGGUUUGGAGGACGCUGCCACCGCCGCAAGACAGAAACCUGGCCACAUUUCCCUACUGUCAACACUGGUGACGGAGAGGCGAAGCAAUGCGUCCCCGAGCAGUCUUAUUUUAGCAGGCUUUUAUAAAACCGCAGCGCUCUCAGAAUCCUCAGCCCUGGGCCGUCCACCUGGCAAGCCCUCUGGGAGGCUGUGCCCAGCCAACCUCAGCACGGCUUCAAGGGCACGGGAGAGACGCCGAGGCGGGGUGAGGAGGGUCCCAGGCUGGCGGCCAGAGGCAGCGGGCACUGCAAUCCCACACGGCCAGCCUGUCCCCUGCUGAGCCCUCUGCUCCUGGCUACAUCCGUCCCAGCUAAAAGAUGCUUCUGGGGCAGCCGUGAGUAUGGCUCCGGAGCUGCCACGGCCUGGCUGUCCGAGGCCCUGGCCACCUGCAUGCGCUUAUCAGCCCUCUCACUGCACCCCAAAAUCCGUCCUGUCUCCACAUUCCCAGGAGGCCGCCUCCUCAAACCCACCUUCCGAGGGGCACCAGCCCCAUCGGGAUCCCCGAGAACACACUCCUGCUGCGGGGCUGACCCUGGGCCUAGCACGGGCUGGCCAGGCACCACCACCGAACCUUAAAUGUGACUUGGAACAUCAGCCUGGCUGGCCUCAUCCUCGUCGCCACAGCCGGGUGGUCCUCUGGCCACCACCACGAGCCACCCCACCUGCUGGGGAUCAGGCAGGAAGCUCCAGACAGAGCCCUGAACUCGGGCAAGCACCUGACAGCGGCCCUCACAGCCGCCACGGCUGCCGCCCCUGGGCAUCGACCUCUCCCUGCAGUUCCCAGCGAUCUCCUCUCCCGAUGACAGCCCCUGGAGGAUGCCCUGGGCCCACAGCUCCCGUCCCCGCUGUGGCCCGCACACCGCACCGCCCAUCUACCAUCUGAGCCCCGUGCCUGGUUCUAUUCCUGGCCCUGCCGCAGGCUGCUCGUGACCUUGGGAAGUCCCCAUGCCGCUGGGAGCGCCCAUCCUCAUCCUACGGGGCCUCCUGCAGAGGUGAGGCGGGACCCGUGUCCCCGAUGGGGCCCCCCUUCCAACCCUUGAGUCCUCUUUUGGGAGCCAGAGAGCAGGGGCAGCGGGCAGCCCUGAGGCAGUGUGGAAGGGCCCUUGCCGGGCCCAGGGAGGACGGGUGUCACAGAGCUCGCCCAGAGCUGGGUGACACCCUCACCUGGCCCGGGGACAAGCACAAGUGUCACCUACCGGAACCCACGGGGCCUCUCCCGUGGUGCCCUCAGCAGCAAGAGGUCAACGGGAAGCCCAAGGACGGGGAGCCUCCACCCUGUGUGCCAGGGUCUGCAGGUCCUCCCCGCCCGGCCCCUUCCCUCCCCUCCUCUCCUCUCCCAGGGUCCAGGUCCUCCCAUCUGACACCAGGACUCGCUCUGCUGCCUGACUCACUGUGUGAUCCUCUCUUAAGAAUUAAUUUCGAAUUAUUUCUUCUUCCCUGCAUGCCUCCCCAGAAGAAUUCGAGGCAGCACUGCGAACCUCUGAUACGGAGACGUGUUUAUUAUUUUUAUGAUUUCUCAGGAAGCGCCCGGUAACUGGAAAGGGAAUUACAUUCGGGGAGAGCUGGG